AUUAUCUUGGGGCUCAGAGGACAGUGCGAGCGCUGGGGUGUGCGAGGUUCGAGGGAGAAAGUCUCAAGAGAAGUCAGCUGCCAUAUGUUGAGACACUCAAGCAGCCUACAGUGAGGCCCACAUCAUGAGGAACUGAGGCCUCCUGCCAACGGCCAGUAAGAAACUGAGGCCUCUGUGUUGUAAGGGAGCCAUCCUGAAAGUGGAUCCUCCAGCCCCAGUCAGGCCUUCAGAGGGGUGCAGCUGACAUAUUGACCACACCUUCAUGAGAAACCCUGAGCCGGAACCCUGCAGCCACACAACUUCUGAAUUCCUCACCCACGGAAACUACAAGGCCUCACGUCCACCCACCACUCACUCACUGACUCACCCAGAGCAACUUCCAGUCCUGCAAGCUCCUUUCAUGAUAAGAGAGACUUGAAAAUGUGUAAAUAAAGAUUGGAGGGAUCCAGUUGAGAGCUAACGUUUAAAUAUGAAUCCAGAAGAGAAAAUGAAUCCAGAAAAGAAAAUGAAUCAUUGAUAGUGUAAGAUUCGUAUGAAGGAGAGGAGGAGAUAAGGAUUGGUUUGGAUAGGAGAGACACCAACCACUCCUAUGGCAACAGGAAGAAGAUUGGUUCAGACGCAGGAAGAAGAAAGAGAAAGAGAACGAAGAGAAGGAGAGGAUGAAAAAAGAGAAGGAGGAGGAGAAAGAGACAGAGACGGACAGACAGAGAAAGGAAGGGAAAAAAAAGAGUGGAUCGUGAGAAAGCAAACCAUGAAAAAGGAACUCACAGAAUCCAAGAAACAGGAGAUCCAGCCCAGGAAAGAGGCAGAAGGAGGUGCCAGUGCUCCAGCUGCCCAGCAGGUCUGGAGAGGAAUCCAUCUCAAUCAGAGCAGGAGAGCAGAGAACGAGGGAAUGUCUCCAAGAAGAAAAAGAAAAAGAAAUUUAUAGGUUGCCUGAUGUGUCUGAAUUUAUUGAGAGGAGAUUUCUAUUUCUGCUCGAGAUUUUGU
rnacentral:lncRNA from 1 species